UACAGAGGUCCCAAGCGUUGUUCGGAUUCACUGGGCGUAAAGGGUGCGUAGGUGGUGAGGUAAGUCGGAUGUGAAAGCUCGGAGCUCAACUCCGAAAUGGCAUUGGAAACUACCUUGCUCGAGGGUUGGAGGGGGGACUGGAAUUCUCGGUGUAGCAGUGAAAUGCGUAGAUAUCGAGAGGAACACCAGUGGCGAAGGCGAGUCCCUGGACAACUCCUGACACUGAGGCACGAAAGCUAGGGGAGCGAACGGG
rnacentral:rRNA from 1 species